rnacentral:rRNA from 1 species
UGGGGAAUUUUGCACAAUGGGGGAAACCCUGAUGCAGCGACGCCGCGUGAUUUAGAAGGCCUUCGGGUUGUAAAAAUCUUUUCUAUGGGAAGAAAAUGACAGUACCAUAGGAAUAAGGACCGGCUAAUUACGUGCCAGCAGCCGCGGUAAUACGUAAGGUCCGAGCGUUGUCCGGAAUCAUUGGGCGUAAAGGGUACGUAGGCGGGUAAGCAAGUUAGAAGUGAAAUCCUAUAGCUCAACUAUAGUAAGCUUUUAAAACUGCUCAUCUUGAGGUAUGGAAGGGAAAGUGGAAUUCCUAGUGUAGCGGUGAAAUGCGCAGAUAUUAGGAGGAAUACCGGUGGCGAAGGCGACUUUCAGGCCAUAGCCUGACGCUGAGGUACGAAAGCGUGGGUAGCAAACAGG